GAGUUUGAUCCUGGCUCAGAACGAACGCUGGCGGCGUGCCUAACACAUGCAAGUCGAACGUGCUCCAGAGCUUGCUCUGGUGAAAGUGGCGCACGGGUGAGUAACGCGUGGAUAACCUACCCUGGUAUCCGGGAUAACAUUCCGAAAGGGGUGCUAAUACCGGAUAAGCCCACGGGCUCUUUGGAGCUUGCGGGAAAAGGUGGCCUCUAUUUAUAAGCUACUGUAUCAGGAUGGGUCCGCGUACCAUUAGCUAGUUGGCGGUGUAACGGACCACCAAGGCGACGAUGGUUAGCUGGUCUGAGAGGAUGAUCAGCCACACUGGAACUGAGACACGGUCCAGACUCCUACGGGAGGCAGCAGUGGGGAAUUUUGCGCAAUGGGGGAAACCCUGACGCAGCAACGCCGCGUGAGUGAUGAAGGCCUUUGGGUCGUAAAGCUCUGUCAGAGGGGAAGAAAUGAUAUAGUGCUAAUACCACUUUAUCUUGACGGUACCCUCAAAGGAAGCACCGGCUAACUCCGUGCCAGCAGCCGCGGUAAUAC
rnacentral:rRNA from 1 species